rnacentral:lncRNA from 1 species
AAAGCUUGAAUAAAGUGUUGUUGGCCCAGAUCCUGGGAAUUCAGCAACCUUUGGAAAGCUGUGCAGUACACCAGGGCAGCUGCAGUCACCACCGGUGAGGUCCUGCAUCCACAAGGGCAGAAAAAUAUGACUCCUGCUGUGUUGCUGGCCAUCCUGUGCUUGAGACUGAUCUCAUCUUCACCAGCACCUGAUCCCGUUUUGGAUGCUGAAUGGCAGAAAUGGAAAAUAAAAUAUGAAAAAACAUACAGCCUGGAGGAAGAAGGACAGAAGAGAGCAGUAUGGGAACAAAAUAUGAAAAAGAUCAAAUUGCACAAUGGGGAGAAUGGCCUAGGGAAGCAUGGUUUCACCAUGGAAAUGAAUGCCUUUGGUGACAUGACAAUUGAAGAAUUCAGGAAAUUAAUGAUUGAAAUCCCAAUCCCAACUGUC